rnacentral:rRNA from 1 species
UACAGAGGUCUCAAGCGUUGUUCGGAUUCAUUGGGCGUAAAGGGUGCGUAGGCGGCAGCGCAAGUCAGGUGUGAAAUCCCGGGGCUCAACCCCGGAACUGCACUUGAUACUGCGUUGCUAGAGUACUGGAGAGGAGACUGGAAUUUACGGUGUAGCAGUGAAAUGCGUAGAUAUCGUAAGGAAGACCAGUGGCGAAGGCGAGUCUCUGGACAGUUACUGACGCUGAGGAGCGAAAGCGUGGGGAGCGAACAGG